AUUGAGCCUUGAUGUGUAGGAUAGGUGGGAGGCUUUGAAGUGUGGACGCCAGUCUGCAUGGAGCCGACCUUGAAAUACCACCCUUUAAUGUUUGAUGUUCUAACGUGGACCCGUAAUCCGGGUUGCGGACAGUGUCUGGUGGGUAGUUUGACUGGGGCGGUCUCCUCCUAAAGAGUAACGGAGGAGCACGAAGGUUGGCUAAUCCUGGUCGGACAUCAGGAGGUUAGUGCAAUGGCAUAAGCCAGCUUGACUGCGAGCGUGACGGCGCGAGCAGGUGCGAAAGCAGGUCAUAGUGAUCCGGUGGUUCUGAAUGGAAGGGCCAUCGCUCAACGGAUAAAAGGUACUCCGGGGAUAACAGGCUGAUACCGCCCAAGAGUUCAUAUCGACGGCGGUGUUUGGCACCUCGAUGUCGGCUCAUCACAUCCUGGGGCUGAAGUAGGUCCCAAGGGUAUGGCUGUUCGCCAUUUAAAGUGGUACGCGAGCUGGGUUUAGAACGUCGUGAGACAGUUCGGUCCCUAUCUGCCGUGGGCGCUGGAGAACUGAGGGGGGCUGCUCCUAGUACGAGAGGACCGGAGUGGACGCAUCACUGGUGUUCGGGUUGUCAUGCCAAUGGCACUGCCCGGUAGCUAAAUGCGGAAGAGAUAAGUGCUGAAAGCAUCUAAGCACGAAACUUGCCCCGAGAUGAGUUC
rnacentral:rRNA from 1 species